rnacentral:rRNA from 14 species
GUGUAUAUUUGCUGAGUCACACUCCUUGGCAUUGGAAUGCAAAGUGGGUGGUAAGUUUCAUACAAAGGUAAAUAUGC